UUUGCUUGUGUGCAGGUACGGCCGUACGGAGCAGGGGGCGUGGAGGCGUGCGUGGCAGCGACGCUGGAGGCUCGUUGUUGAUGCUAGGGUUUCUGGUCGUGUUGGGUUGCGUUGGGCCAUGAUAGUGUCUGGGCUAGAUGUAGUCGGGCUAGGUUGGGCUUGGGGUAGUGUCUAGGUUGUUUUAUUUGUAAAUAGACUUUUAAUAUUUUUUGUUUUUUAUUUUUAUUUAUAAAAUUGGACCGGGCAAAUUAGGUAUUACAAAGUUAAAAUGGUUUUAAUUGAGUUAACCAUUUUCAAUCAAGUUAAAACUGUUUUAAAACAAGUCAAUAUUGCUCCAGGGUAUCGAUAUUUUUUGGCCAAG
rnacentral:lncRNA from 1 species